UUGUGCCCACAUUGUGUUGAAACACCAGUUCCCAUACAAUCAUGAAAGUUAAGCAACAUCAAGCUUGGUGAGUACCUAGAUGGGUGACCACUUGGGAAUAGCAGGUGAUGCAAG